ACCUCGCUAGUCAUGGGGUCUGCGGAGGGAUCAUUA
rnacentral:rRNA from 1 species